rnacentral:rRNA from 1 species
CAGCAGCCGCGGGAAUACGAAGGGGGCUAGCGUUGUUCGGAUUUACUGGGCGUAAAGCGCACGUAGGCGGAUCGAUCAGUCAGGGGUGAAAUCCCAGAGCUCAACUCUGGAACUGCCUUUGAUACUGUCGAUCUGGAGUAUGAAAGAGGUGAGUGGAAUUCCGAGUGUAGAGGUGAAAUUCGUAGAUAUUCGGAGGAACACCAGUGGCGAAGGCGGCUCACUGGUCCAUUACUGACGCUGAGGUGCGAAAGCGUGGGGAGCAAACAGGAUUAGAUACCCCAGUAGUCCCUGUCUCUUAUAC